UCAAACUACCAUGAACAUUGAGGUUUAUUGGCAGUGUUUCUAAUUGGCACUGACAAAAGUUUUAAAAGUAAUGAGAAAUCAAACUUUGCAUGCAUAGUAAACAGCUUUAUAGAGGUUUAACAACCCGAUUAGUCCUAGCACUUUAACCACUACAACAUGGUGUGUAGAGUGUAGGGAUCAAGGUGUGUGGAGUGUUUGUUUUAGCUAAAAGUAUUUGGAUUAAUUACUUUUUGGUUCACUUUCUCUCUUUAUAACAUGGUUUCUGUUGUAACGUUAGUUUUGUUUAUAUGAUCCCUCCCCUUUACAAUGGAAGAUUUGACCAUUGUACUUUUUAACCAUCUUU